rnacentral:rRNA from 1 species
GAUCAUGGCUCAGGACGAACGCUGGCGGCGCGCUUAACACAUGCAAGUCGAACGAGAAUCUACAGAUCGAGGAUUCGUCCAAGAGAAGUAGAGGACAGUGGCGGACGGGUGAGUAACGUGUGAGGAACCUGCCUUUCAGAGGGGGACAACAGUUGGAAACGACUGCUAAUACCGCAUGACACAUUGGGGUCGCAUGGCCUUGAUGUCAAAGAUUUAUCGCUGAGAGAUGG